AUCUCCGCAAAAUCUCUGCGUAUUCCGGCAAUCGGUUCCGGUUCCAGAUCCGACGGCUCAGAUCGCUCGUUAGGUGCGAGAAAUGACGAUACGCAACGAUAUUGGCGAGUUAGGGUUUCGGUGAGCUCCGAUAAGUCUUCUUCGAGGUUUUCGUUGUCGAGUUUGAGGCUGUUGGCGAUGGUUCUGGUGAGCCAUGACAUUGUACGGUGGCUGGUGGUGGUUGAGAUGGCCGGUGGCGGUGGUGGUGAUGAUCGGAAAAUGUAGUCCGGCGGUGUUGCUUGGAGAAGAGGUAACUGAGUUUGUAGUUACACGAAAUGUAAUGGUUUUUAGAGGUGGGGGCAUAAUGGUCAUAUGGAAAAUGAAGAUUUGUUGUAAGAUAAACUUGAUUGCUUGAACUAGAAGUAGUCAAGUAGAAGAAAGAUUUCGUAGAGGGUUAUUUUAUGUGGUCAAAAGCACACUUGGCCCGUGUCAACGCGUGUAGUUUAACCGGCUAAAACUAGUUUCAAACGGUCUAAAGCGGUAAAAAACAACCUACACUAGUCUAAAACAAGGUUGCACCAACAUGAGGAGCAUGAACCAGCCUUACUAAAGGUGGAGGCAGCGUCUUACCUGGUCACCCCCAAGUUCAAUCAAGUAUAACCGUGUACUCAGAAUACACUGUUGCAAGUGCCCCGGGUACUGGGGCCGAGUAGUAUAUCCGGGUUGUGGAACUCGCAUGUGGGGGCAUGUUUUGACCCAUUGCUAACUCGCGUGGGAAGGCGAUAAAGAAGAUAAGGCGGACGUGUAAAAAGGAUUUAGGGUGGUUGGGAUGAAGAUGAGAAGUUAACAAAAAUUCUUUUGGAAGUUUAAUAUUUUCUGAAGUUCAUAUGAUCAAAUGGGUCUAGGAUCAUACAGUUGGGCUGCAAGACUGCAAAUGAAGUCAACAAAAACUCUUUUGGAAUCUAGUUUAAUAUUUUCGUGGAAGUUCAUAUGCAAUUUAUCAAAUGGGUCGAGGACCAUACAGUUGGGCUGGAAAUGAAAAUUUGCAUGUGUUAAUUUUUA